rnacentral:rRNA from 1 species
AUUGAACGCUGGCCGCAGGCUUAACACAUGCAAGUCGAGCGGGCGAGGUUGCUUCGGUAACUGAGCUAGCGGCGGACGGGUGAGUAAUGCUUAGGAAUCUGCCUAUUAGUGGGGGACAACAUUCCGAAAGGAAUGCUAAUACCGCAUACGCCCUACGGGGGAAAGCAGGGGGAUCUUCGGACCUUGCGCUAAUAGAUGAGCCUAAGUCAGAUUAGCUAGUUGGUGGGGUAAAGGCCUACCAAGGCGACGAUCUGUAGCGGGUCUGAGAGGAUGAUCCGCCACACUGGGACUGAGACACGGCCCAGACUCCUACGGGAGGCAGCAGUGGGGAAUAUUGGACAAUGGGCGCAAGCCUGAUCCAGCCAUGCCGCGUGUGUGAAGAAGGCCUUUUGGUUGUAAAGCACUUUAAGCGAGGAGGAGGCUACUUGGAUUAAUACUCUAGGAUAGUGGACGUUACUCGCAGAAUAAGCACCGGCUAACUCUGUGCCAGCAGCCGCGGUAAUACAGAGGGUGCGAGCGUUAAUCGGAUUUACUGGGCGUAAAGCGUGCGUAGGCGGCUUCUUAAGUCGGAUGUGAAAUCCCUGAGCUUAACUUAGGAAUUGCAUUCGAUACUGGGAAGCUAGAGUAUGGGAGAGGAUGGUAGAAUUCCAGGUGUAGCGGUGAAAUGCGUAGAGAUCUGGAGGAAUACCGAUGGCGAAGGCAGCCAUCUGGCC